rnacentral:miRNA from 1 species
UGUGCAUAUGUGUAUAGCUGGAUAUUGUAUGCGUGUACAGCUGUGCACAUAUUUCUAUGUAUGCAUGUGUAGUUAUGUGUCUGCAUGUGCAUGUGUGAAAUU